ACCUGGCUGGCUCAGUUGGAGGAGUGUGGGACUCUCGAUCUUGGGGUCAUGGAUUCAAACCCCAUGUUGGGUG
rnacentral:tRNA from 1 species